GGUGAAUAUCAAUAUUAAAUUAUUUUUUUUUUAGGAAACCUCAGCAUUAGUGCUUUUCACUAAGCUUUUUCAUCAUGGGUAUCAUUGGGCUUAACAUUAGAUAACAUCUUGAAUAUUCUUUGUCCUCUUGGCCUUUGGAAAUUGCUUUGAAAUUGUUAAAGAAAAAAAAAUUCAUUUUCGUCAUUUAGCGUUUAGACUUAAGUUUAUAUAGUCAUCAUUAUUGGAAUAAGUUAAAUAAAAUUAUAUUUUUUACAUUUUUCAGAUUAAGAUGUUGAAUAGAUCUUGUUAAGAAAUGGAGUAUAUUUCAAAACCAUGAAACAAGAGAUAUUGCCUUGCCUUACCAGUAUAGUGGUUACUUUUAAGAAAUUUUUUUAGAUGCAAUUUUUUUUUAAUGCUCUGCUACUUGAUAUCUGGUUGAAUUUAAAUGGUAAUAAUUGCCUCUUAAUGUGUAAUUAUACAAUUAUUUAUUUAGCUUGUAGUUUUUUUUUAAUCAGUUCAAGAUGUUGAGUAUUGAUUACUAAUCAACUACUAGCCUGGAAGAUAAAAGCCAAAGGUGUAAACAGACAGGCCAGGUAAAUAUGAAUGAAGAAACUGAAACUAGAGGUAAACAUCAUGAGAAGUCUAAUUAUAGGGCAAGUAUUUUUCCUUCAUAUCUUAUUUAACAUAGACAAACCAUGUAAUACUUAUAGGCUUAACUAUUGUUUUCAUAGAAACAAUGUUAUUUUAAAUAUCAUGAAAUAGUGUAUUUAAGAGAUAUUCUAGUUCAAGUUUCCAUAUUUCAUCAGCUUCACAAGCUCACAUUCUCUGCUGCCUACAGUACCAAUUUGUCAUCCAAGCAACAAAUAUUCCUUGGUAAUAUGCUUUAAGAUGAUGACAGUUUUCUCUUUGGCAUUUUUAUCAAUAAUUGUCUGAUGGUCUUCUGGUUCAUCUCUCAACACUAUGAAGAUCGCUACACUAUUUGGUUAGCAUAACCCUGAACUGCAUAUCAACAAAUGUUUGAUGGUCUGUUUGGUUCAUCUCUCUCUCUCACUAUGAAGAUGGCUACACAGGUAUCAGCAGUGCACCCCUAUGAUAUGCAAGCCUUCAUUGCCAAGUCAUUCUGCUGCAAACAGUGUGUACACCUUUCUUGUAAUGGUAGUGACCCACUUUACUGUACUUCAAUGUCAGGAGUCUGGAUAUGUCAGCCCAAGGAGAUCACGUUUGUGGCUAAGAUUACUUAGGUAAUUCUCUAAGAACAGUAG
rnacentral:sRNA from 1 species